rnacentral:rRNA from 1 species
GGGUUGUGAGGUUAAGCGACUAAGCGUACACGGUGGAUGCCCUGGCAGUCAGAGGCGAUGAAGGACGUGCUAAUCUGCGAUAAGCGUCGGUAAGGUGAUAUGAACCGUUAUAACCGGCGAUUUCCGAAUGGGGAAACCCAGUGUGUUUCGACACACUAUCAUUAACUGAAUCCAUAGGUUAAUGAGGCGAACCGGGGGAACUGAAACAUCUAAGUACCCCGAGGAAAAGAAAUCAACCGAGAUUCCCCCAGUAGCGGCGAGCGAACGGGGAGCAGCCCAGAGCCUGAAUCAGUGUGUGUGUUAGUGGAAGCGUCUGGAAAGGCGCGCGAUACAGGGUGACAGCCCCGUACACAAAAAUGCACAUGCUGUGAGCUCGAUGAGUAGGGCGGGACACGUGGUAUCCUGUCUGAAUAUGGGGGGACCAUCCUCCAAGGCUAAAUACUCCUGACUGACCGAUAGUGAACCAGUACCGUGAGGGAAAGGCGAAAAGAACCCCGGCGAGGGGAGUGAAAAAGAACCUGAAACCGUGUACGUACAAGCAGUGGGAGCACGCUUAGGCGUGUGACUGCGUACCUUUUGUAUAAUGGGUCAGCGACUUAUAUUCUGUAGCAAGGUUAACCGAAUAGGGGAGCCGAAGGGAAACCGAGUCUUAACUGGGCGUUAAGUUGCAGGGUAUAGACCCGAAACCCGGUGAUCUAGCCAUGGGCAGGUUGAAGGUUGGGUAACACUAACUGGAGGACCGAACCGACUAAUGUUGAAAAAUUAGCGGAUGACUUGUGGCUGGGGGUGAAAGGCCAAUCAAACCGGGAGAUAGCUGGUUCUCCCCGAAAGCUAUUUAGGUAGCGCCUCGUGAAUUCAUCUCCGGGGGUAGAGCACUGUUUCGGCAAGGGGGUCAUCCCGACUUACCAACCCGAUGCAAACUGCGAAUACCGGAGAAUGUUAUCACGGGAGACACACGGCGGGUGCUAACGUCCGUCGUGAAGAGGGAAACAACCCAGACCGCCAGCUAAGGUCCCAAAGUCAUGGUUAAGUGGGAAACGAUGUGGGAAGGCCCAGACAGCCAGGAUGUUGGCUUAGAAGCAGCCAUCAUUUAAAGAAAGCGUAAUAGCUCACUGGUCGAGUCGGCCUGCGCGGAAGAUGUAACGGGGCUAAACCAUGCACCGAAGCUGCGGCAGCGACACUAUGUGUUGUUGGGUAGGGGAGCGUUCUGUAAGCCUGUGAAGGUGUACUGUGAGGUAUGCUGGAGGUAUCAGAAGUGCGAAUGCUGACAUAAGUAACGAUAAAGCGGGUGAAAAGCCCGCUCGCCGGAAGACCAAGGGUUCCUGUCCAACGUUAAUCGGGGCAGGGUGAGUCGACCCCUAAGGCGAGGCCGAAAGGCGUAGUCGAUGGGAAACAGGUUAAUAUUCCUGUACUUGGUGUUACUGCGAAGGGGGGACGGAGAAGGCUAUGUUGGCCGGGCGACGGUUGUCCCGGUUUAAGCGUGUAGGCUGGUUUUCCAGGCAAAUCCGGAAAAUCAAGGCUGAGGCGUGAUGACGAGGCACUACGGUGCUGAAGCAACAAAUGCCCUGCUUCCAGGAAAAGCCUCUAAGCAUCAGGUAACAUCAAAUCGUACCCCAAACCGACACAGGUGGUCAGGUAGAGAAUACCAAGGCGCUUGAGAGAACUCGGGUGAAGGAACUAGGCAAAAUGGUGCCGUAACUUCGGGAGAAGGCACGCUGAUAUGUAGGUGAAGUCCCUCGCGGAUGGAGCUGAAAUCAGUCGAAGAUACCAGCUGGCUGCAACUGUUUAUUAAAAACACAGCACUGUGCAAACACGAAAGUGGACGUAUACGGUGUGACGCCUGCCCGGUGCCGGAAGGUUAAUUGAUGGGGUUAGCGCAAGCGAAGCUCUUGAUCGAAGCCCCGGUAAACGGCGGCCGUAACUAUAACGGUCCUAAGGUAGCGAAAUUCCUUGUCGGGUAAGUUCCGACCUGCACGAAUGGCGUAAUGAUGGCCAGGCUGUCUCCACCCGAGACUCAGUGAAAUUGAACUCGCUGUGAAGAUGCAGUGUACCCGCGGCAAGACGGAAAGACCCCGUGAACCUUUACUAUAGCUUGACACUGAACAUUGAGCCUUGAUGUGUAGGAUAGGUGGGAGGCUUUGAAGUGUGGACGCCAGUCUGCAUGGAGCCGGCCUUGAAAUACCACCCUUUAAUGUUUGAUGUUCUAACGUUGACCCGUGAUCCGGGUUGCGGACAGUGUCUGGUGGGUAGUUUGACUGGGGCGGUCUCCUCCUAAAGAGUAACGGAGGAGCACGAAGGUUGGCUAAUCCUGGUCGGACAUCAGGAGGUUAGUGCAAUGGCAUAAGCCAGCUUGACUGCGAGCGUGACGGCGCGAGCAGGUGCGAAAGCAGGUCAUAGUGAUCCGGUGGUUCUGAAUGGAAGGGCCAUCGCUCAACGGAUAAAAGGUACUCCGGGGAUAACAGGCUGAUACCGCCCAAGAGUUCAUAUCGACGGCGGUGUUUGGCACCUCGAUGUCGGCUCAUCACAUCCUGGGGCUGAAGUAGGUCCCAAGGGUAUGGCUGUUCGCCAUUUAAAGUGGUACGCGAGCUGGGUUUAGAACGUCGUGAGACAGUUCGGUCCCUAUCUGCCGUGGGCGCUGGAGAACUGAGGGGGGCUGCUCCUAGUACGAGAGGACCGGAGUGGACGCAUCACUGGUGUUCGGGUUGUCAUGCCAAUGGCACUGCCCGGUAGCUAAAUGCGGAAGAGAUAAGUGCUGAAAGCAUCUAAGCACGAAACUUGCCCCGAGAUGAGUUCUCCCUGACUCCUUGAGAGUCCUGAAGGAACGUUGAAGACGACGACGUUGAUAGGCCGGGUGUGUAAGCGCAGCGAUGCGUUGAGCUAACCGGUACUAAUGAACCGUGAGGCUUAACCUUACAACGCCGAAGCUGUU